GUCUACUCAGAUGGAGAGUUGUCACAAAAGGCAUCUGCAAACCUGGAUCAAGAUUUGGCAGACCACUGCGACAAUUUACAGUGCACAGAUAUGACACACCAAAUGGUUGGAAACCCCUGCCUCUACCUCUCUGGCAAACGUCAUCUGUGACCCUGGAAGAGAACGAAGCACAGAGAGGAUGGCUCCCCGCUGCACUGCUCUCUCUCACAAGGCCUCAGUCGAUCCAUCACACAGUCCUAUUCAUUGAAAGUCUGAAGUAUGUCUCCAGUCUCUCCAUCUUACUCUAGUCAGGAGUCAGGCUCUUUGGUGGAAUGCCACCCACGAGCCCUCUCCAGCAGUGGUUGGGGGGACUGCUGCUCCCCGGCCCACAUCAGCAUCACCCACGCUGUGUUGCAACUGCUCAGCCUCCAACUAUAUCUGUAGCUGCAGUGACAUUUUUACACAAGGAAAGAUGUAUGCUGCCCAUCUGUCAU